rnacentral:rRNA from 1 species
GAUGAACGCUGGCGGCGUGCCUAAUACAUGCAAGUCGAACGCAUUGUGGUUGAAAUGAUAUGAAGAACUUGUUCAGAUCUGAUUUUCAACAUUGCAAUGAGUGGCGAACGGGUGAGUAACACGUGGGAAACCUACCUCUUAGCAGGGGAUAACAUUUGGAAACAAAUGCUAAUACCGUAUAAUAAUUAAAAACCGCAUGGUUUUAGUUUAAAAGAUGGUCUUGCUAUCACUAAGAGAUGGUCCCGCGGUGUAUUAGUUAGUUGGUGAGGUAAUGGCUCACCAAGACAAUGAUACAUAGCCGAGUUGAGAGACUGACCGGCCACAAUGGGACUGAGACACGGCCCAUACUCCUACGGGAGGCAGCAGUAGGGAAUCUUCCACAAUGGACGAAAGUCUGAUGGAGC